GGAGAGGUGUCUGAGUGGUUGAAGGAGCUCGCCUGGAAAGCGUGUAUAGGUUAAUUCCUAUCGAGGGUUCGAAUCCCUCCCUCUCCGCCA
rnacentral:tRNA from 1 species